rnacentral:rRNA from 1 species
CCCUUGGAUUCGUCUGAGGGUGAAAGUGGCGAACGGGUGAGUAACGCGUUGGUGAUCUGCCCCGGAGUGGGGAAUAACUAUUGGAAACGAUAGCUAAUACCCCAGAUGUCCUCGUUUUUGGAAAGCGAUGACUGAAGUUCAGGCGCUCCGGGAGGAGCCAGCGUCCCAUCAGCUAGUUGAUAAGGUAAUGGCUUACCAAGGCACAGACGGGUAGGGGGCGUGAGAGCGUGACCCCCCACACUGGUACUGACACACGGACCAGAUACCUACGGGUAGCAGCAGCUAGGAAUAUUGGACAAUGGGCGAAAGCCUGAUCCAGCAACACCGCGUGGAGGACGAAGGCCUUCGGGUCGUAAACUCCUUUUUGGGGGGAUGAGAAAGGACAGUACCCCCAGAAUAAGGCCCGGCUAACUACGUGCCAGCAGCCGCGGUAAUACGUAGGGGCCAAGCGUUAUCCGGAUUUACUGGGCGUAAAGCGCAUGUAGGCGGUUUAUUAAGUCGGACGUGAAAGCUCCUGGCUCAACUGGGAGAGGUCGUUCGAAACUAGUAGACUGGAGGAUGGUAGAGGAGAGCGGAAUUCCCGGUGUAGCGGUGAAAUGCGUAGAUAUCGGGAGGAACACCAGUGGCGAAAGCGGCUCUCUGGCCCAUUCCUGACGCUGAGAUGCGAAAGCCGGGGGAGAGAACGGGAUUAGAAACCCCGGUAUUCCUGGCCGUAAACGAUGUCAACUAGGCGUAGGAGGUUAUUGACCCCUUCUGUGCUGUAGCUAACGCGUUAAGUUGACCGCCUGGGGACUACGGCCGCAAGGCUAAAACUCAAAGGAAUUGACGGGUCCCCCCCA